rnacentral:rRNA from 1 species
AGUGAACGCUGGCGGUAGGCCUAACACAUGCAAGUCGAACGGCAGCACAGGAGAGCUUGCUCUCUGGGUGGCGAGUGGCGGACGGGUGAGGAAUACAUCGGAAUCUACUCUGUCGUGGGGGAUAACGUAGGGAAACUUACGCUAAUACCGCAUACGACCUACGGGUGAAAGCAGGGGAUCUUCGGACCUUGCGCGAUUGAAUGAGCCGAUGUCGGAUUAGCUAGUUGGCGGGGUAAAGGCCCACCAAGGCGACGAUCCGUAGCUGGUCUGAGGAGAUGAUCAGCCACAAUGGAACUGAGACACGGUCCAGACUCCUACGGGAGGCAGCAGUGGGGAAUAUUGGACAAUGGGCGCAAGCCUGAUCCAGCCAUACCGCGUGGGUGAAGAAGGCCUUCGGGUUGUAAAGCCCUUUUGUUGGGAAAGAAAUCCAGCUGGCUAAUACCCGGUUGGGAUGACGGUACCCAAAGAAUAAGCACCGGCUAACUUCGUGCCAGCAGCCGCAGUAA